rnacentral:misc_RNA from 1 species
GAAAUGCGAUAAGUAAUGUGAAUUGCAGAAUUCCGUGAAUCAUUAAAUCUUUGAACGCACAUUGCGCUCUCUGGUAUUCCUCAGAGCAUGUCUGUUUGAGAAUCAGUUUAAUUUAUCAUUCUGUUGUUUGCAAGUCUAACGACUAGCAGACGGCAGAGUGGAUUUGGGAUGCAAGAGCGCUAACGCGCCCUUCAACCUUUGAAACAUUAGUUGCUCUUUUUGACCUUUGAUCAGAAAAGGUACUAGCCGAAGGCAUGACCAAUGAACGCAAGUUCUUUUAGUGCUGACAAGGCUUGUCUUUUUUUACUUGAAAAGGUCGUCUCGCAAGAGAGAAAGAGUGCUUCAUAAAACCCAAUCCGAGAUGGACAGUUGCUCGUCCAUUUUAAGACUUGAUCUCAAA